AGCGAACGCUGGCGGCAGGCCUAACACAUGCAAGUCGAACGGAUCCUUCGGGGUUAGUGGCGGACGGGUGAGUAACACGUGGGAACGUGCCUUUAGGUUCGGAAUAGCUCCUGGAAACGGGUGGUAAUGCCGAGUGUGCCCUUCGGGGGAAAGAUUUAUCGCCUUUAGAGCGGCCCGCGUCUGAUUAGCUAGUUGGUGAGGUAACGGCUCACCAAGGCGACGAUCAGUAGCUGGUCUGAGAGGAUGACCAGCCACACUGGGACUGAGACACGGCCCAGACUCCUACGGGAGGCAGCAGUGGGGAAUCUUGCGCAAUGGGCGAAAGCCUGACAGCCAUGCCGCGUGAAUGAUGAAGGUCUUAGGAUUGUAAAAUUCUUUUCACCCGGGGACGAUAAUGACGUACCCGAGAAGAAGCC
rnacentral:rRNA from 1 species